GCAUUGGUGAUAGCCUAUGGUUAUUCCUCUUUAGAUAUCAGCAACAAGUCUUAAAGUCUUAUAUUUCAAAUUUAGUUUCAGGUUCUGACAUGAGCUGAGGGACCCUAGGCAAAUGACUCAACCUGAGUUUCAGUUUACUAAUCUAUAAAAUGGAGUAAUAAUGUUACAUUUUUCAGUGUUUUUGUGAGGAUAGUAAAAUACCUGAAAUGACUAUCUAAACUAUUAUUUACAAUGUGGUUGAAAGACAUUACAAAGGAAUAAAUGUCCUGGAGAAGAAGAUAAGUAAUGUCAAUGAAAUAAAUGAACCAUUAUGAGCUAUCAGUUAGUCACAGUAUAAAGUGGGGAGAGGAGAGAGAGCUAACUGAUAGACAUCCCAUAUGCUGGUAUCUACACAACAUCAAGAAAUUUAGAAGCAGGUCUCCAGCUUGUUGACUCAACUUUCCUUCUGGGGUAUUAAUGGGUCAAGAUAGUUGUCUUGGGGAUGAAUGACUAGGAAAUUAAACAAGAGGACUUGGGAUCUCUUGAGAUGGUUCUUUGCAAACACCAGGGACCAGGAGCAUCAUGAUCAUUCUACAGCUGGAAAGAUGGUCAGACAUGUCAGCAUGGAUCCCAUCUAUUAUACUUAAUGUUAUUGGAAGAAGAAUGUUAUUAGAAGUAGCAGAAUCUAAUCCCACAUUCUGGAACUUCAAUUACAGAGAUAUAUACCAUGGCAUCUCCUGUCUCCAAACAGAAAUCUCCAUUGAGACUCUUUUCUCAUCCUGGAAGGAGCCAUAUUUCAAGGGUCAAGACACAUCUGCUCUCUUCACAGGUCAAGACACCACUCUCAGGAUAUCAUCAGUCCUUUUCAAGAACAAAGAACAAACAAUAACAAUGACAUUCUUCUAAAGAACCUUGUGGGAGAAGUAGUUCAAACAUCAGCCCCAUUUCAUAGAUCAGGAGUCUUGAGGCUUAUAAGUCAAGUGAAUUGAUUACCUCAAAUAAAACAGCU